GAUGAACGCUGGCUGCGUGCUUAACACAUGCAAGUCGAACGAAGCACCUUAUUCUGAUUUCUUCGGAAUGAAAAAUUUGGUGACUGAGUGGCGGACGGGUGAGUAACGCGUGGGUUACCUGUCUCAUACAGAGGGAUAACAGUUCGAAAUGACUGCUAAUACCGCAUAAGACCACAGCACCGCAUGGUGCAGGGGUAAAACCUCCGGUGGUAUGGGAUGGACCCGCGGCGGAUUAGGUAGGUGGCGGGGUAACGGCCUACCAAGCCGACGAUCAGUAGCCGACCGGGGAGGGUGACCGGCCACAUUGAGACUGAGACACGGCCCAAACUCCUACGGGAGGCAGCAGUGGGGAAUAUUGCAAAAUGGGGGAAACCCUGAUGCAGCGACGCCGCGUGAGCGAAGAAGUAUUUCGGUAUGUAAAGCUCUAUCAGCAGGGAAGAAAAUGACGGUACCUGACUAAGAAGCACCGGCUAAAUACGUGCCAGCCGCCGCCGUAAGAC
rnacentral:rRNA from 1 species